ACCACCGCCCGCCCUAAAACUCUUUUUGAUUUUCUUCUUCUUCUCUCACCCAUAGAGGGGUGGUUUUAGGUCAAUUUUUGGCCUAAAAUCACCCCUUUACAUUUUUUUCUUCUUGCUUUUUAAUACAAAUAAGUGAUUUUCACAUAGUUUAAGUCUUAUAGUUUUGUUUUCAUCUUUGCGAUUUUAUCCUUUUUUUGAUUUUCAGUAUUGUUGUCCCGUCUUAGUGCGGAGUAUUGUUGUCCCGUCUUAGUGCGGAGUAUUGUUGUCCCGUCAUUUUGCGGUGUUCAUUUGUUUCAGGUUUGAAGAUUAAGGUUGAUCCAGUGCAGAUCCAAUCAAUGACUUUUGUACCAUCAACGCUACAGAUCCGGCGACAUGAAUGUUCCGGAAACUUCAAUAUAGUCAAAUAUGUAGGCUUUUGCAAUAUGCCGUUUGAUACUAUUAACACGGAUGCUGUGAGUUUGUUC
rnacentral:lncRNA from 1 species